CAGUUGAGUCUGCACAGUGUAAAUAUGAACUUAUGAAUUUGAUAUUUAGAAUUUAUGAUAGACAACUUUGUGAAAUAUAUCAUGCGAAUGUAAAAAAUUGCAUCAGAAAUUUUCAAUAAGUUAGUAAAUCAAUGUUUUUCUUUGGGUGAGAUACUGCGAUGUUUUUAUUGUUGUCUUUUUAUGCUUAUAAUGUACCAAGAUUAAGGCAUGCCACAAUGUCUUUGUAUUGUAACUAUAUGUUUGUCUCUGUUGCAGUAUAGUGUGAGAAUGAAAAUGUACAUCAAAAUUUUUCAAAAUACAUGUGUUAGUAUUACCCAUUUUUCAUUUUAACACAAUUACUCUGUUUAUUUUUUAAGCACAAAUCUGCUAUCAUAAAUAACAUGCCUAUGUUUUUAAACAGUUGUUUGUUACAAAUUUGAUUCUCAACUGUAUCAAAGACAAAAGGAUAUCAUGUAUUCAAUUUGAUGCUCAUAUUUAUUGAUUUUUGUGAUGUAACCCAUCCAAGUGACUUAUUAAGGUUAACUUACUCUAUGAAUGCAUUGUUGUUAUGGUAUAUGUUUAUUAAAAAUAUUUUAUUAAACUAUAUACUUGU
rnacentral:sRNA from 1 species